ensembl:snRNA U1 U1 spliceosomal RNA
AUACUUACCUGGCAGGGGAGAUACCGUAAUAAUGAAGGUGGUUUUCACAGGGCGAGGCUUAUCCAUUGCACUCCAGAUGUGCUGACCUUGUGAUUUCCCCCAUGUGGGAAACUCAGACUGCGAAAUUUGUGGUAGUGGGGGACUGCUACAAAACUAUUUCCAU